UUGUAUACUAUAUUGAAAUUUUAACAAUUUCAAUCUAAUAAGAAUCAAUAUCGGAUCGUUUUGAAGAUUUUAUAUCGAAUUCUUUGAACAAAAGAUAAUGCAAUCUCUUAUUUUAACCGAUGUAAGACAUUGAACCAACAUAUUUUCAUCAAUUGGAUAAUAUUUAUAUGUGUUUUAAAAUAUAGAAUCACAAUAUAUGCGGGAAUGUUAUGAAUAUUAGAUGGAUGCCCAUUAUAAGGCCCAUCUUCUAGAUCUUCUAGAUCCUUCUAGAAUAGAAUAUUCUGUAAUUAUCCUGUAGAAACCCUAACCUUGUACUCCUAUAUAAAGGACCUUUCAUUCAUUGAAAUAAUACACACAAAUCUUCCUCUUCUUCUUCUUCUUUUCUAACAGGGAAAUGUUUUUGUGGGAUUUGUUA
rnacentral:sRNA from 1 species